GGGCCCAGCGCUUCCGCCCACGCCAGCGGCUGAGGGCCCUGCGCAGCCUUAUCGCACUCGAGCGCUGGUCUAAAGGGCCCGGUGUGAGGCCUCUGCAUGUGGAACCCUGUGAGCAAGUGGCACUCCAUCUGGCUACACAUUCGUUCAGCCGGAAGAAGUGGCCUACAAGCAGCUGCCCCUGUUUUCUCCUUCCGGCUACAAGGUGAACGUCACAGCCUGGUCAAGUGGACACACGAAAGUAACCAUGCCAGCUGUCAUAGCCGACGUGAGAGAAAGUGUAAGACUUCUCCCCAUGUGUGAGACUUGAUGGAGCAAAUGCUAAACAAGUGUUAGCUGUUGGUAUUGUGAGCUGGACCCCUGUGGGGAUUUCCAUGGUGGAAGUUGCGUGGGAACAGUUGGCGUGAGACUCCUGGAGCCAGGCCUUGGGGACCCAGAUCAUGCAGCCACUAUGACCAGCAACUAUGGAGAAAGAAACACAGACAAUGAUAAGACCUUGGAAAUGCCUCUGAAGUCAGGAUACAGAAGGCCAUGGAAGCCCAGGGCUGCUUGUCUAGAAAUAGGUCAAAAAGGCAUUGGGAUGGAAUUUCUCACCAGAAACUCCCCAAGAACAGCCAGGCUUAUGGUCUCCUUCAGAGACUGAUAACGCUCAUGGCUGAUAGGAUGGCCAAGGUCCCUGCAGAAAGCCCGAGGGAGGGAGGUUGGAGAUGCGAGCAUCCGGCUGAGUGUCCCUGGCUGCUUCAUGGCGCUGCAGGAAGGCGGCCAGGAAACCUGGACCGACCCAGAGAGGAGACUCUGAUGUACACAGGGCAGAUCUCCCGACCCAGGCACCUCGUGUUCCUUCGAGUCACCCAGCCUUAAUCCUGCAGCUCAUCUGGUAGGGCCGCCCGGAGGCCUGACCUUGGAGCCCCAGAGGCAGGGCUGGGGAGAAGAGCUUCCCGAGACCAAGAGUGUGGGCGGCCAGUGGGCAGAUCAGGCCCCAGGAGCAGUGCGCCCAGGCUGGCCUGGAUCAUUCUAGAAGCAAUUCCAGCUCAACCUGCAGACACCAGCCAGAAACUCCCAUUCCUCCCCAAGGGGAAGCCUGGAGCUACCCCAAGGGCAAGUAUGUGCCCAGGGAUGGACCACCUGUCACCCCACUGGGAGGCCAUGCACACUUGUUGGGCACUGGCCGUGGGCAGCCAUUGUGCUGGACUGUCAUAUAUUUCAUCUCCUGUCUUCCUCUUGAGCUUCUGGAGAGGUUGGGGUGGUUGGUCUCAGGAUACAGCCGAAGAGACAACAGAGAGGCAGAGUAACUUGCCCAAGGUCAGCCAGCAAUGGGCAGGUCUCUCUGGCUCUGCAGCCACAUUCUGUCUACAACACCAGAGAGCCAACACCAGGAAUUCAGGAAGCUGCCUCCAGCCUGGCCUCUUGUCUCCUGGAAGCCACUAGACAAGCCACCUCCCCCCGGGGUGGCUCUGGCGGGCCACUCCUCCCUCUGGACACCCACGAGCCUCCCUCCUGAGGCACCAUUAGGAACAGAGGCAGAGCUCAGGGUAUGUGAUGUGGUGCCCAAGUGCCCAGGCAGAGGUGGUGCCUGAGACUGAGGCGGAGGGGCCCUUGCAAACACCUUCUGUGUGCCAGGCAGCAGGGAAACAAGGAACGGGGUAAAGGCAGGGCACCUCAUGGGGCAAACGUGUAGUGACAUCAAACACCCGCUACCUAGUGUGCAUAGCCAGCUCCAGGCAUGCUUAAUAACCCUACACACACAUGUACACACAUGCACACAUACACAUGGGUACACAUACUUAUGUGCCUGCGCGGUGCACAUACAUAUAUGCACAUGUGCGCACACGUGCACUGCACACACAUACAAGUACACGCACAUGAACACACAUAUAUAUGGGUGUGUGUGUACACACAGCACCAACAAUGCAGUAUAUGAUUUUAUGAGUACAAAUAAUUAGAAAUGCAGAGGAGAAGUUCUAUAAGCAACAACAUCAAACUGCAAACAGUGGUUACCUCUGAAUUUUACCCAAAGGGACUUAAGCCUCAUCCCUGUUUGUCCCCCAGGGAGAAUGUAUUCUUGUUUGAUUUGUGCUCCUAAAAACUGAUUUUGAAAAAAGAUCAACUCUGGGAACACAGUUAAAUCACCAUCACUGCAUUUUUCUGGGAAGAACAUCCAGGGUGCUGACCGCUUGUCUGCGGGCACAGCACAGAAGAAACACAGGAGGGGAGGGGACAGACUCUAGUGAGGGAGGAAGCCCAGGGGCCCCACCUCCAAACAGGCCUGGGGUCGUGCACCCCCAUCAGCCUGGCCCCCAGGGCUCAGGAAUUUCCCGGAAGCCUGAGACAUCAUGAGAAAACGCAUCUUCUCACGGCCUUUGGGCAAAGGGAGUUGGUGAUUAUUUAAAGCAAAACAAAAAACCAUGUGUCAUUUACAAAGAAAAGAAAACUCCGCUUCUCCCCCCACCACAAACCUAACUCUGAACCUCCAUUUUCCCAUCUGUAAAAUGGAAGCAUCAGCCUAAAUGAUUUCUAUGGGCAUUUGCACAGCCUGUGAUUUUAAACAUUUUCUCUGCCCCUGUGGAUGCACGCCCUGCUACAUCGGGUUUCCUCUGGCCACGGCUUUCCUGGGGCCUGUGAGCGAGUCAGCCCUCCCCUCGCCCAGCCCCUUGGCCUGUCCUGCUGCCCCACUGACUUCUCAGGUUUGUUCCAGCAACUCUGACAGACGUGUGACAAGAGAACCCACACGGAGCUCCUGUAGCCGCCCUAAAAUAGGUUUGUCUCACCCCCAUGUUCCUCCAAAGCCGUCAUGCUUGGUUUUGCCUGGAACUGUCUGGAAAUGGGGGCGAUGGGCCCUGCACACACCAUCUUCAGCUCUUAGAAGCUGGAGGCUUCGGACGAAGGACAUGCCAUCCUUUCCGCCCUAUGCCAGUGGUCAUACAGACCAAUCAGUACAAUGUAGAAGACCUCACGAGGACAUGAAUGCCAGCAGGUGGGAUUGGUGGGGCCACCUUGAAGACCGGCUGUCAUGCGAGGUAGUAACAUUUCCUCCUCCCUUGCUAAUAAAACCCCCGUUUCAGUCAGAUGAUCCCUCCUUAGCGCCGAGGAGAGAAUCUCAUUGAUCUGAGUUCAUCAGGCAAUCCCGUAUGGCUUAUCUGAAAUUGGUUUAGAAUAUGCAGUGGACCCCAUCCUGGCCAAGGGAACGUGAGGGGCUCUUGAGAAAGCUUCUGCUCUCUGCUACAAGAAAGAAAUGACCGCGUCCUCUCCGGAUGUCAUACGCAGAUUUGUCUGGAGCUUUGGCAACCAUUUUGCAAUCCUGAGGAGAGACGUCACCAUCACCUGAGAUGGCAAAGAGGAAAGACCUAGUUGUGCCUAAAUUAACCAACUUUGGAACUGUCUUAUCUCUGGAUUGCUCAUUAAAUGAAAUGAUAGGUUGCUCACUGCCUUAGCUUCUUCUCGUUGAGCUUUCUAUUAUGGCCCACCAAAAGUACACAAAAGGAACAGACACCUUGCCACACACUGGGAAGUUCAUGCAGGCUUCUGAGAGGAAGUGCCUCUGUGAAUGAGGAGGAGGAGUUCACCAGAUCAGUCGGUGCGAGAAAGCAUUCCAAACAGUGGAAAGGCUCAGCGGUCGUGGCGUCGGGCCUUCCCCUACCAGUCAGGCUAAAGCCAUCAGACUCUAUCCAGAGGGGAGUGGGAGCCGCAGGGAAAGAUGUGGUUUCGCUUUUUGGAAAGACCCCUCUGGAGGCAGUGAGCAGGAGGAAAGCAGGCGAGCUGACUCUGCCUCCUGUUCGGACCCGUCCACACCCGAAGCAUGGCUCCCUGUAGCGGGGUGAGCACCAGGGCUGCACCAAGGCCUCUGGCUGGAUGCAGUAGCCCUCACCUCCCAGACCUCGGAGGAGGGACUUCGCUCCAGGAAGUGGCAAGGUCAAUGACGCCGCUCCCUGCUCUAAAACCAACCUGUGCUUUCUAGUCUCAUGGAGAUUAAAUCCGAAUUCUUCCCCUGGCCUCUCUGGCUCCGUGGUCUGGCCCUGGCCAACUGAUGCUCUGAGCUCCCCUUACCCCACUCUCCUUUUGGCCCCUAUGCCCUCGUCACGCCAGCCCUCUACUGGCCCACAAACAUGCCAGCUCUGUUCUCACCUCCGGGCCUUGGCAGCUGCCAUUCCUUCUGUGGCUUUUCACUUGGCUGCCUGUGGCUCAACCUUUAGGUCACAGCUCAGAUGUCACCUGUGCAGAGGUGUCCACCCGACCACCCAUCCAAAGUAGGACUUCUCAUCCCGGUUCCUACUGCGCCACCCCGCUUAGUGCCCUUUAGCACUUAGCGCUACUUCUAAAGCCCUUGUGUGGUUUUUUCAUUUGCUGCGUAUUGUCUGUCUGCCCCCUUAUCCUGUUUCCUACUUUCUCCCCCAAGUACUGUUGAUCUCAGUACCGUUGGUGGCACAUAGUGGACCCCGAUACACAUUUGUUCGGCUCAUACCCACAUUUUUGCCUGUGGACUAUGAGGCCAUCUAAGCAGAUGAGAAAUCACCCUCAUAGGCACUAAGAGACCCAGUCCAUGUUUCCUUCUCGUUGCUGUUUUGUCUGAAUUGAUCCCUGGCAGAUGGGGGGGUAUUUUUUUUAUUAUAGUUGAUUUAUAAUGUU